GGAGUUAGCUCAGUGGUUAGAGCGCUUGCCUAGCAAGCGCAAGGCCCUGGGUUCGGUCCCCAGCUCUG
rnacentral:tRNA from 1 species